CCGGGAGUCGGGUGGACGUUUGCGUUCGCCAACCUGGUCAGGUCCGGAAGGAAGCAGCCACAACGGAUAGCGGCGGGUCGCCCGGCUCCUUCAGC
rfam:Novosphingobium sp. ST904 contig_6, whole genome shotgun sequence.